rnacentral:lncRNA from 1 species
AUUAAUAUGCCAUUACUUCUAAAUCUGGAAAACUAUCUUUAGUUCGUUCACCAACCAUAAAAGACUAUUAAUCGAAAAUAAUAAUGAAAAAUCAACAAUUCCUUGAAGAAAUUAAGGACUAGCUGUCUUUUUACAUCUUAACGUAUGUUUCAUAAAAAAGCUAUUAGUUCCAUUCCACCAUGUGCCAUCAACAAGUCUGCGCAUCUUGGCAGUUUCUUCACGGAACCGCGUCACAACAGAAAAAAAAUAAAAUAAAAAAUAGACAGCUCAUCAAAUAUUCUUCACGCGCCAAAAACAAACAGUCUCAUCGACCGUUGUGUCUUUCUUGGUACACGCGCCUCGAUGAGCGUUACAAAGACGGCAAACCGGCCGCAGAAUAAAUAUCUUCCCCAACGGCGCCGUGACGGAGAGAGAGAGAGAUAGCCUGUCCGAGAUCUCACUUAACACGUGGGAGAAUCCCAGCCGUCGAUGAUCAUUAUCCCCAGCUGUAAAUUAAAAAACCCGGUCAGCUAAAACCGGGCAGCUCCGCGUCUGCCCGUCCUCUUUAUAUAAAUCCCUCCUCGUCACAAUCAUUCUUAAAAACUAAAACCCUAGAGAAAUGGCGAUCUCUAAGACUACUACCGUUGUUGCUCUCGUCGCGGUGAUUGUCUCCGUCGUCGCUACCGUAGCUUCGGCUCAGGUUGAGGCCCCGGCGCCGAGUCCUACUUCUGGAUCUGGUGCUUUCUCGCCGUCGAUCGUGUCAGCUGGUGUUGCGGCAGUCGCGGCUCUCGUUUUCGGCUCUGCUCUUCGGAUCUAAGUCUGUGUGAUGGAGAUUCGUACAGAGAUAGUAUUCAGGAGCUAUAGAUCUCACUCUCUUUUUUUUUUUUACUUUAUUUACCUUCAUGUCAUUGUGAAGGAUAUAUAUAUUAUUGUGUGGCUUUGUAAUUUCUAGACGGUGUUUUUGGAUUGUGAUUCUAUUUAUUUAUGGAUGGUUUCUCAGAUUUAUCUUUCUCGGUCUCUGCUUAAUUAUUUAUUAUGCUUACGGUUUGCACAUCGCGUUUAUUAUUAUCCGACGCGUUCAAGAUCGAAUCGCUUAAUUAAUUGAAAUUUUGGUUAUAAUCUGAAAAGCUAAGUGUAUGAUUGGUUUUACAAAUCGAUAUGAAAAGAAACUCGAGUUAAAAAAAAGAACUUUCAUCAACGCAUUUUGUUGACGUAUUUGAUUGCUAAGCAACGAGAACAAGGCAGCAUGCAAAAGACUAAAGAGUCCAAUGAAAAUGGGUUUAGAGAAUUGUCGAGCGAAAACCGAAUGAUUAAGACACAACAGUACUCACAUUCUCUUUUAUUAUUCUUUGUCAAAAAAGGUUCUCUUUGGUUACAUUCUCCCAUCAAAUUGGCAUAUACGGAUUAUUCCUUCAUAAUCUAAAGACAUUUACUCGAAAAAAUAAUGUUACACCCAAAAAAAUCUAACGAAUAACAUUAGAUAUUCCUUAAUCUCCUCUCACUCUUUCUCUCUUGGGCUAAAGGCAAAGAUGGAUUUACAUUCUUUGAGCUUGAUAUAAGGCUAUAAGCAUGCGCAAUUAAUAAGCAAAACUGAUAUGUGAGUGGGGUGACAGGUAUUCGCCAAACCUGAGGGAGAUUAAGGUGUUGGACAAGAAGAGAGUGAGAAGAGCCAAACUCUAUUACCUCAGGGACAAGAUGAACGCUCUCAAGAAGCACUAGCACCUUAACAAUCAAUCAUAAAAGAAAGUUGUCUACUCUCUUCAAACAAAAAGUCUUUAUGUUUUUUUAGUGACGAUUUGAUCUUAAGUCACAUAUUCGACUGUAUAAUGUAUUGAACAAUCCAUAAGCUAUUGUGAUUGUUCCCCACAAAGCAAUUGUUGUGCCAUUUUUGAAACAACACAAAAAUUUAAUCUCUUUUUUUCUUCAAAACACACCAGUUUAUUGAAAUAUAUUCAAACAUCCAUAUGCUAAUCCCUUUCAGCUAUUGGUGCUAACCAAGAAGGUAAUGAAUACAACAUUCUAAACGAAAGAAGGGAGAGAAACAAAGAGCUUGUGAAUAGAUCCAAUAAAUAAGAAUCCACAUAAAACUUAUAAAAAAGCAAUCGUUUACAUGGCAUCUCCACAAAGAAACAUGCAUUGAAACGUCCACAUUUUAUUACCCCCAAACCUUUGUCUGAAAAAAAAACUCUCCCUUUCACAUUGGAAGAUGGAUGGUACUUUAAAACUCGAUCACUUGUUCCACCAAUGCAAGAAAUCCUCGCGCCUUGUUGAUUUUCUUCUGAAGCUGUAAGAGUCCAUAGAGCAAAGCCUCAGCGGUUGGAGGGCACCCAGGGACGUAAAUGUCCACUGGCACAAUCCUGUCACAGCCUCGAACCACCGAGUAGGAGUAGUGAUAGUAUCCACCUCCGUUGGAGAGGGACGGGAGGGAUGUGUGGAUGUGAGAGACGGCGGCGGCGGUGGCGCGUUGAGAUUGGAGGAGGAGAGGGAGGCGCGUGGCGGCGUUGCGCGUGAUCAUGGCCAUUUUGUCGUGGAGUUGUGAUGGACAGGUGAACUCUUUAAAGCGUUUACUAAAGAACAGGUGGAGGUAACUAUUAUUUAUAAAUCUUUUCACAUGUUUUCUUACUUUUUUACAGUAAAUUAAUCAAGUUUUAUUGUAUACUAUAACCAAAAGUUGAUAUAAGCAUUCAGAUAUUUGUAUCAGUUAUUUCAGAUAUCAUAUAGUUUAAAUAUAAAUGUUUAUGAUCCAUUCAAAGACCCAAAAAAUUUGAAUGUAAGAAUGCGGUUGAAUUAUUAAAUGUCCAGAGAUAGUAUAACAAAUCCAUUCUGUAAGUUUUGAAUCUUUUUAACGCCAAAAGAAAACUAAUCUGGAUUUUCAUAUUAUGCAAAAUAUUAUGAAAAUAUUUUUAUAAAAGCUAGUUUUAGAAAGAAAAAAACAAAUUAUGCAAAAUACUUUUAGUUUAUACAGGAUCAUAAUUAAGCGUAAAUGUAAUGUUUUUCAUUAGUUUGUGGAAUCAUAGUUAAUCAGCAUAGAAAGAGUAGAAGAUGUCUUUCGGCUGACAAACUCAAUUUCCUGGCUUCUGGUAGAACUGGAAAUGGAUUAGAGCGCUUCGAUAUGAUCUAGAGGUGGUUCGUUAAGGACGAUUCAUGGGCUUUGCUAUUUUAUCGUUGCUCUGUUAAUGUUAAUGGGCCUUCGUGCUCUUUUGUGAACUAGAAAUGGAUUAGAGCCUUGGCUAAUAAUACUGGGCACAUUUACUGAAAUUGAAGAACCGAAUAAAAAAAACAAGGUUCGUUUUGGGUUUGGAUUUUACCAAUUUUUCCACUAGUAGAACCAAAAAACUGGAACCGAUCCGAAAACUGAAUAAAUAUUCGAAUAUCUAUGAUAUAAUUUAUAACUAAAAAAAGCAAACUGGAACCGAAUAGAUGCUCGAAUAUCUAUGAUAUAAUUUAUAGCUGAAAGAAGCGAACCGGAAGCGAACCGAUAACCAAAUGUCCAUGGCUAGCUUUGGCUAUGUUUAUGGUUAUGUUUACAUUUUGUAACAAAAAACAACUGCUUUUUAGUGUUUUUUUUUAAUUAAAAAUAGUACUUAAUAUUUGAUGUGCAGCAACAAUAUAAAAUUGUAUUUUUAUAAUUUAUAUGUUAAAUAGUCUUUUUUGCCCUAGAGAGAUGUUUGAGCCGGCCCUGCAAUUAUAUAUUCAAAUUUUCAAAGAUGCUGUUGCUUUUUUUUUUGAAACUCGGAUGCUGUUGCUUUAGUUGUGAAAAGUAUACGUUGAUGAUGACAUGAGUCAUGAGGUGUCCAAAUUGGUUCUUUGAUAUUUCUUCGUACGAACGAUAACCACUAUUUACUAUUUACAAACAACUAGAGUAACUCGUGAUCGUCAACGAUCAUAAAAAAUCACUAUCCCAGGAAUGUUCUCAAAUUGUAUUGUUGUUGGAAUGUUUUAAUUUUAUUUUUCUUUUUGAAAUAAGGGAAGUUUCUACAAAUGGACACGUAGUUAAGCUUUGCAACAACUUCCAUGUAAGUAUGUAACGUAAGCUAAUAGCCAUGAUGUAAUGAAUUGGAUUAAAAGCAAAGAAAUGUCGCUAAAUAAUGUAUGAAAGACAAAACAAACGUAACUUUUGAAUAUGGAUAGUACUGGUUUAUUUAUAUUGCUUUGUGUAUUUGAGUACACAAUGUAACUAUAAAAUAGUAUGCUUCUUUCUGCAUGUGGACGUAUAUCUAUAUACUACAUAAAAUGUUUUGUCGGCGAAGAUUCGUGAAUUUAGGCAUAUGCAUAUCUAUAUAAUCACAAGGUCCGUAUAGUAUUGGACUGUUAGAUUGAUGAGUGAUGGUGGCGAGAUGGAGACAUCAACACAAUAAUUUAUUAUUUUUAUUAACCAAAUCUUAAGCUAAGCUUUAAAGCUGAGUAAUUGCGUCACACGUGCCCUCAUUUAAUCAGAAAUUAGGGUAACACUUUCAUCAAACAACCACUGCAUGGUUUCAUUAAAAUAAGUAUACAGUCUUAAAUUAAAUCAGAAGUUUCCCCUCUGUUUUAAAUAAAAAGAUCACGGAAAUUAUAUCAUAGGCAGCAAGGAAACUGCCUUUUAAUUAUAGUUUUUGUGAUCAGUAGCCAUAAUGUGAACGUCGGAUCGAAAUAAAUAUACUAGAUUCAUUAGUUUUUUAUACAAAUACUUCAAAUCAUUAUUUCAAUGACAAUGUUCAGCUGAGAAUGUUAAACUGCUAGUCAAAUAACAAUACAUGAUUUGAUGAUUUCCAAGUCUUNNNNNNNNNNNNNNNNNNNNNNNNNCAAACAAUCUUUUGUCCAUUCAAGUACUACCUCGAGGACCAUAGCUACACUUUGUACAAAAUUUAGGAUCUCAAUACCUUAUCCAUGUCGUAUUCUUUAAAAUAUGUCGCCUCUAUUUUACACAAGCCAAUGACUUUAGAAAGCUAACAUUUACACCGGAGUAUUUAGGGCCACUAAUUAAUGGGCUUACGAUAACCCAUUUUAAAACGUACGUCGUCCAAGUUUAAUUCAUAUUUCAGAGUUUCGAACUGGCUCAGUCCAAGUUUAACUCAACCAAUUUUAAAAACCACCAUCACCUUUACAUUAAAAAGUAACAUGUUAACUAAAAUGAUCACCACCUGUUUAAACUACUUUCUUUAUCAAGCAUGAUUAACAACUAUAUCAAACAAUAAAGUAGUCAAACUAUUUUAAUUAAUUUAUAUUCUUUUUGUUUUGGUAAACUGAUUUAUAUAAUUAUGUAAAUAUUAUUGUUAGGCCUGGGACGGAUCGUGUAUCCGGGCAAUUUUAAGGUAUCCGGAUCCUUAUCCGGCGGAUCCGUAAUUUUACUAUCCUUAUCCGGAUCCGGAGUUUUCGGAUAUCCAGGGUUUUCGGAUAUCCUUCUAAAAAUUGUAAUAUCUGGCGGAUAUUUGGAUCCGGAUUUGGAUCCUUAAAAUAAAUAAAAAAUAAUAUUAAUAUAUUAAAAAUAUUAAAAAUAAUUUAAAAAUAAAAAUAUAUAUAAUGUUUUUUAUUUAUUUUUAUGUAUAAUAUUACAAAAUUUACAUAAAAUUUAUAUAUACUAUUAUAAAAAUGAAAAUAUAUUAAAUAAAAUUAGUUUUUAUAUAUAGAUAUUACUAUUUUUGAAAUAGUUAUUAAUAAAAUUUACGGAUCCGGAUGUCCAGACUAAAAAAAUAAGAUAUACGGAUCCAGAUUCGGCUUUGACGGAUCUAACAUUUUACUAUCCGGAUCCGGAAUCGGCCUCUCCGAAUUUUUGGAUCGGAUCCAGAUCAGAUCACGGAUCGAAUCCGGAUCUCGGAUAAAACUUCCAGGCCUAUCACUAUUAUCGUAACCCUCUAUUAUAGUACCAAAAAUUUACUUAAUGGGGUUUGAUUCGAAGGGAGAAAAAUGAGUAUUCUGAAUUACUUUCUUCUUUAUUUCUAUUUUUGAGCAUAUUAUUUCAUACGGAUUGAUAUAAAAUAGCAGAAAAUAGAAAAAAUGAAGUAGCGUUUAAUUUUCUUAAAAUGCUUGUAUAAAAUGAAAGCAUAAAAGAAAAUUACAAA